rnacentral:rRNA from 1 species
UAGGGAAUCUUAGACAAUGGGGGCAACCCUGAUCUAGCCAUGCCGCGUGUGUGAUGAAGGCCCUAGGGUCGUAAAGCACUUUCGCCAGAGAUGAUAAUGACAGUAUCUGGUAAAGAAACCCCGGCUAACUCCGUGCCAGCAGCCGCGGUAAUACGGAGGGGGUUAGCGUUGUUCGGAAUUACUGGGCGUAAAGCGCACGUAGGCGGAUUAGUAAGUUAGAGGUGAAAUCCCAGGGCUCAACCCUGGAACUGCCUUUAAUACUGYUAGUCUUGAGUUCGAGAGAGGUAAGUGGAAUUCCGAGUGUAGAGGUGAAAUUCGUAGAUAUUAGGAGGAACACCAGUGGCGAAGGCGGCUUACUGGCUCGAUACUGACGCUGAGGUGCGAAAGUGUGGGGAGCAAACAGGAUUAGAUACCCUGGUAGUCCACACCGUAAACGAUGAAUGCCAGACGUCAGCAAGUAUACUUGUUGGUGUCACACAUAACRGA